AAGCCUCAUUAGUCAUCACCUCAAUACUUUUGAGAGUGACUUCAGUUCUGAGUUCACCUUCAACGCUUCACGCCCCUUCACCUUCAUCGCUUCACGCCGCAGGUAAGUUCUCUUUGCUUCUUCUCUUCCUCUUCUAGUACAUGGUAAAAACAUUUGCUCAAUGAAUUCCCUUUGCUUUUGGUUUGAAUCCAAGAUGACACAAUAACUUGGAUAUAUUUAUAUCUCAUUAUUCUUCAAGGGCAUUUUUCAGACAACGGGUAUUUUCUUCUCAUUUCUAUGAGAAAUUACCUUUUGCAGGGUGCCUAUAUAAUGCUACUUAUCACGAUUGGAGUAUGUUCUUGUUUAUCCUCAGCAUUUCUUCAAAUUUAAAGUAACCAAAUUAUAUCAAGCAGUGAUGAGAUAGCUAACAUGUAAGGAGAUCUAUUUUAAGCUUGGAUCAGCUUUGGAUCUUCCAUGAAAUUUUCUUGUUACGCUUGGCUUCUGCGCUUCAUCUCUUAAAUUUUCUUGUUACAAAACCUGAUGAAAAAAGCAAGGACCUAUUGCCUUUUUUGUGAAUGGGUCUCUCGUAAACUUUAGGGACAUCAAAAAUUGCAUUGUUAUUGCCAUAUAGGUUGUAUCAUGUAUGUUAGUCAUAUUACAGAGGACCUGGUAGAAGACUACUGCUUGGUGCAGCUUUAGGUGUAGGAUUUUUAGUUGCAAUCUAAUUUUUUGUACUUCCAACAGCGGAUAUUGAAAUUGGGGCAGCCACAUCUGCACUCUGAUUGUUGUUGUACUUCUAAUGACACAAUAUUCAGAUGAAGAAUUACUCUUUUAGAUUGAAGGCGACACUUAACUACUUAAUAAAGAUAUGAUCUUUCCAUUCCGCAUAACAGCCAAAGAAGAACAUCAAAAGACAAAAUUAUGUAAACAGUCAGAAAGCUCUAACCAUGAGUUGUAAAAGCAGAAAUCUUCACAUCUUUUAUUGUUGCUAAUGUGAAUAUGAUGUACUAACAUAUUUCGUGUGGACUUUGACUUCAAUAUGGGAUUACCGAAUACCGUACCGAACCGAAUUUUGAUUUACCGAUUACCGAAUUACCGAACCGAAGUUUGAAAGUUCGGUAUUUGAUAUAUACUUUGAAUUACCGAUUACCGAAUUAUCGAACCCAAACUUUGAAAAUACCGAACCGAAUACCGAAUGUCCAGCCCUAUGUGAUAGUUUGAAUUUAAGGGGGGGAAAUGAAGUAUUUUGAAAAUUAUUGUCUAAAAUAUGUUAUAUUUUCCAUGUCUCAAUUUGUGUAGCACAGUUUGAAUUUGAGAGUCAAAUAAUUUAAAUUUGGUCGUGAAUUUAGAUAUGAAAUCUUUAAGUUUUACAUAUUUGAAAACUACGUAGGAAGUAUUAUAAUUCACAGUAAUUAAUAAUUUAAGAUAUUUAAAAGAUAUAUGAAAAAAUUACAAUUAAAAAAGAUUUAUUUGAAUCUCAAUACCCAAAAGGUGUCACAUAAAUUAAAAUGGAGAGAAUAGUAUUUUUGUGGGAAAAUUUCCGUAAAUGACAAUUGUUUGGGUCUAAUUAAUUACUCAUAAUUAGGGCCGUUUAAAACCGAACCAGGACCCACUCCUCACACAACUAUUGUUUGUGUAGUGUGAAAUGGUGCACUAACAAAAGUGAGACUUGCCGGCAUAUAAACGUACAACUUCACCAGCACUAGUUUUCCCCUCUCCUUUUUCUCCUCUUCUUACUGUCAUUUCAAUUCAAAAUGCCAGUGGAUCACAACAACAAGCAUCCAUCUUUCUCCAAUCUACUUGAACAAGGCUUUAUCGAUAAAAUAGUAGUUUUUUUUUUUUUUUUUGAAACUGGUAUCUUUAUAUAAAAUACUAGUAAGUUUUUUUCUUAAAGUCUAUCUAUAAAUUGAUGAUCCUAUUUGUUAGCGAAUGCCGGCUGCUUUAGUCAAAGAACACAAGAAGAUGUUGACCAAGACGGCCUUACUUAAAACGGAUGAAAAUAUGUCUUGGGAAGCUAAGAUAGUGAGGGAGGCAUCUGAUUAUUUCAUAUGUGAAGGAGACUGGCCAUGGUUUGUGGUGUAUAACAAGUUGGAGCUAGGGGACAUGUUGAUCUUCUAUCUUGUUGAGAAAUCGACCUUCCAUGUCCUGCCCCACUCCAAGAAACCUCGUACCAACAUGUUUUGAGGAACUCAGCAGUUCCGAGGAUGAGAUAGAAAAUGUUGAUGAGAAAGAGGACGAGGAAGAGAACAUUGAAGCUUCAAGAAAAUCUAAGAAAGUUAAAACAGAGACAAUAGAAUCGUUAGCCCAUGAUACACUGUCCACCGAGUCGGUUGAUGAUUCUAUAGAGAUCCUAGAUGGUACCCCAAGAAGCAACAGAGGGAAAACGAAAUUUUCAGACAUGGUUGCGCAUUCUGUUGAAAACCUAGGCCAUUGUGAUGUCUCACUUGACAUUCGUAUCGAAAGAAUAGAGAUUGAGAACUUGCUAGAAGGUGUUGCUUCUUCUUCUUUUACAAGAGAGGACCAAUUAAUAAGCGGCAGUGAAGGCUGCAAAAUGCACAGGCAACAAUUCAGUAUUUUUUAUGAUGUGCGCAAGACAGUAAUGGACAGAGAAGGCUACAUAUCAAAGAGCAAAAGCUAAUUUCAAGUCUUAAGAAUCCAUUCUUUAUAUCUUUUAUGCAUCCUUCGUACAUCUGCUGUGGUCUGUGCAUAAAGUUGAGAUUUGCUAGGAAAUGUAUCCCGGAAAAUUGCAGCAACAUAGUACUACGUGUAGCAGGCAGGGGAUCUUGGCCUGUAUCAUACUAUCUGGGAACCGCACAAGCUAAAAUUAGCAUUGGCUGGAGAGGAUUCGUGCUUGACAAUCAGUUAAAAUUAGGUGAUGUUUGUGUAUUUGAAGUGAUUAAAGGCACUCAGAUCUUCAUGGAUGUCACUAUAUUUCGUGCAGCUGGGAGCAAGCCAAUGCAGGAAACUGAUGGGCCAGAUUUUAAUUAAUUUUCGUUACAAAUAGAUAGUUACGAAGCGAAAGGUUUCUAAAAUUUGCUCAAUAUGAAAUUAAACGAGCUAUUAUAUUCUAUAGUUCAGUCUUGCCUUUCUGACAAAUUUACAUUUAUAUUUUUGUAAUGCAUAUAUAUAUAUUUUGUUGGUUUUGA